CCACGACCGUAUCCGCCGAAUCCGCGGCCGAAGCCUCCUCCGUAUCCGCGGCCGAAGCCACCUCAGUAUCCACGGCCGAAGCCUCCUCCGUAUCCGCGGCCGAAGCCACCGUAGCCACCGUAGCCCCUUCCAAAUCCUCCACGUCCGAAGCCGAACUGGGCGGCCGCCAUGCUGCAGACGACAGCCAGCACCAGGAGGGCGAGGAGGAAGGCCUUGCUAUU
rnacentral:lncRNA from 1 species